rnacentral:rRNA from 1 species
UGGGGAAUAUUGGACAAUGGGGGGAACCCUGAUCCAGCCAUGCCGCGUGUGUGAAGAAGGCCUUAUGGUUGUAAAGCACUUUAAGCGAGGAGGAGGGUACUGGUAUUAAUACUACCAGGUACUGGACGUUACUCGCAGAAUAAGCACCGGCUAACUCUGUGCCAGCAGCCGCGGUAAUACAGAGGGUGCGAGCGUUAAUAGGAUUUACUGGGCGUAAAGCGUGCGUAGGCGGCUAAUUGAGUCGGAUGUGAAAUCCCCGAGCUUAACUUGGGAAUUGCAUUCGAUACUGGUUAGCUAGAGUGUGGGAGAGGAUGGUAGAAGUCCAGGUGUAGCGGUGAAAUGCGUAGAGAUCUGGAGGAAUACCGAUGGCGGAGGCAGCCAUCUGGCCUAACACUGACGCUGAGGUACGAAAGCAUGGGGAGCAAACAGG